UGGGGGAUAUUGCACAAUGGGGGAAACCCUGAUGCAGCAACGCCGCGUGAAGGAAGAAGGUCUUCGGAUUGUAAACUUCUGUCCUCAGGGAAGAUAAUGACGGUACCUGAGGAGGAAGCUCCGGCUAACUACGUGCCAGCAGCCGCGGUAAUACGUAGGGAGCGAGCGUUGUCCGGAUUUACUGGGUGUAAAGGGUGCGUAGGCGGAUAGGCAAGUCAGUGGUGAAAUCUAUGGGCUUAACCCAUAACUGCCAUUGAAACUGUUUAUCUUGAGUGGAGUAGAGGCAGGCGGAAUUCCCGGUGUAGCGGUGAAAUGCGUAGAGAUCGGGAGGAACACCAGUGGCGAAGGCGGCCUGCUGGGCUUUAACUGACGCUGAGGCACGAAAGUGUGGGUAGCAAACAGGAUUAGAUACC
rnacentral:rRNA from 1 species